rnacentral:tmRNA from 1 species
GGGGAUGACCAGGUUUCGACAGGGUCAUGGAGCGUUAGGUAGCGGGUGGCGGAUGCUCGUUGGCCGCCUUAACAAACGAGUAAACAAUUUAAUUGCCAAAAACAAUUAUUCUUACGCGGUAGCGGCUUAAGCGACCGCCGUCGUUUCUCCUGAAUCUGUAGGGAGGAAGCCGACGUCAGAUCCAGACCUUGCCGAUCGGAGGUAAAUCGGAGAACGUAAGUAGCGAUUGAUCCGUAACUGCUUAUGAAUCAGGAUCUCACCGCUAUGGCAGUCGGUCAGCGGACGGCCGUGACGGGAGAAUAAAACGCUGACUGCACCCGGAGAAGCUCGGCGUGAAGCGGCUUUGGACAGGAGUUCGAUUCUCCUCAUCUCCACCA